rnacentral:rRNA from 1 species
UGGCGACCAUAGCAAGAGUGAACCACCUGAUCCCUUCCCGAACUCAGAAGUGAAACCUCUUAGCGCUGAUGGU